rfam:Phytophthora infestans T30-4 supercont1.52 genomic scaffold, whole genome shotgun sequence.
GGUAGUAGCAAAUAUUCAAAUGCGAACUUUGAAGACUGAAGUGGAGAAAGGUUCCGUGUGAUCAGUAAUUGGACACGGGUGAGUCGAUCCUAAGAGAUAGGAUAAUUCCGUUUGAAAGCUGGGCUGUUUGAGGCGUGGGGUUCGUCCUUGCGUUUUGUAUGCAGCCUCGUGUAUCGAAAGGGAAUCAGGUUAAUAUUCCUGAACCGAGACGUGGAUAAUAUGUGGUAACACAACCGACCCAGGAGACGCUAGCGUGUGCCCAGGGAAGAGUUCUCUUUUCUUUUUAACAAGCAUAUCCUACCUUGGAAACGGAUUAUCCGGCGAUAAGGAGGAUGCCUUGGCAAAGCACUUUACUUUUUGAAGUGUCCUGCGCGCCCACGACAGCCCUUGAAAAUCCUGGCUAGAGAUUUAUUCGCACCCUCGUUCGUACUCAUAACCCGCAUCAGGUCUCCAAGGUUAGCAGCCUCUAGUU